rnacentral:rRNA from 1 species
GAUGAACGCUGGCGGCGUGCCUAAUACAUGCAAGUCGAGCGAACGGACGAGAAGCUUGCUUCUCUGAUGUUAGCGGCGGACGGGUGAGUAACACGUGGAUAACCUACCUAUAAGACUGGGAUAACUUCGGGAAACCGGAGCUAAUACCGGAUAAUAUUUUGAACCGCAUGGUUCAAAAGUGAAAGACGGUCUUGCUGUCACUUAUAGAUGGAUCCGCGCUGCAUUAGCUAGUUGGUAAGGUAACGGCUUACCAAGGCAACGAUGCAUAGCCGACCUGAGAGGGUGAUCGGCCACACUGGAACUGAGACACGGUCCAGACUCCUACGGGAGGCAGCAGUAGGGAAUCUUCCGCAAUGGGCGAAAGCCUGACGGAGCAACGCCGCGUGAGUGAUGAAGGUCUUCGGAUCGUAAAACUCUGUUAUUAGGGAAGAACAUAUGUGUAAGUAACUGUGCACAUCUUGACGGUACCUAAUCAGAAAGCCACGGCUAACUACGUGCCAGCAGCCGCGGUAAUACGUAGGUGGCAAGCGUUAUCCGGAAUUAUUGGGCGUAAAGCGCGCGUAGGCGGUUUUUUAAGUCUGAUGUGAAAGCCCACGGCUCAACCGUGGAGGGUCAUUGGAAACUGGAAAACUUGAGUGCAGAAGAGGAAAGUGGAAUUCCAUGUGUAGCGGUGAAAUGCGCAGAGAUAUGGAGGAACACCAGUGGCGAAGGCGACUUUCUGGUCUGUAACUGACGCUGAUGUGCGAAAGCGUGGGGAUCAAACAGGAUUAGAUACCCUGGUAGUCCACGCCGUAAACGAUGAGUGCUAAGUGUUAGGGGGUUUCCGCCCCUUAGUGCUGCAGCUAACGCAUUAAACACUCCGCCUGGGGAGUACGACCGCAAGGUUGAAACUCAAAGGAAUUGACGGGGACCCGCACAAGCGGUGGAGCAUGUGGUUUAAUUCGAAGCAACGCGAAGAACCUUACCAAAUCUUGACAUCCUUUGACAACUCUAGAGAUAGAGCUUUCCCCUUCGGGGGACAAAGUGACAGGUGGUGCAUGGUUGUCGUCAGCUCGUGUCGUGAGAUGUUGGGUUAAGUCCCGCAACGAGCGCAACCCUUAAGCUUAGUUGCCAUCAUUAAGUUGGGCACUCUAAGUUGACUGCCGGUGACAAACCGGAGGAAGGUGGGGAUGACGUCAAAUCAUCAUGCCCCUUAUGAUUUGGGCUACACACGUGCUACAAUGGACAAUACAAAGGGCAGCGAAACCGCGAGGUCAAGCAAAUCCCAUAAAGUUGUUCUCAGUUCGGAUUGUAGUCUGCAACUCGACUACAUGAAGCUGGAAUCGCUAGUAAUCGUAGAUCAGCAUGCUACGGUGAAUACGUUCCCGGGUCU